GGGGCCGUAAAGGCUUCGACGGGGAUUCUGAUGCAUGAUAAGCGGGUAGUGAGGGCGAAAUCACUUUAAUCGUCGCAUCUUUAAAUUUAAACGCAGAUUACAAUUCUGAGUUAGUAGCUGCCUAAGCGGCUUCCGUCAUACUCCGCAGUACCACGGGCGGGGAUAUGGCGUCGACUAGUGGUGAACGUCAUUGAUGAGUUGCCUUGUAAUCUCUGAUGUACUAAAGGCUGCCAAAUCUGAGAGCCUGUUUGCCGGCGCUCAGACGCGGGAGAUCUAAAAGACAUUCUGCACCCGGAGAAAGUCGUGAGGACGGGUUUUCGGACAGGGGUUCAAUUCCCCUCGGCUCCACCA
rnacentral:tmRNA from 1 species